rnacentral:rRNA from 1 species
UGAGUAACACGUGAGCAACCUACCCCUGACUCUGGGAUAAGCGCUGGAAACGGCGUCUAAUACUGGAUAUGUGGCGUGACCGCAUGGUCUGCGUCUGGAAAGAAUUUCGGUUGGGGAUGGGCUCGCGGCCUAUCAGCUUGUUGGUGAGGUAAUGGCUCACCAAGGCGUCGACGGGUAGCCGGCCUGAGAGGGUGACCGGCCACACUGGGACUGAGACACGGCCCAGACUCCUACGGGAGGCAGCAGUGGGGAAUAUUGCACAAUGGGCGCAAGCCUGAUGCAGCAACGCCGCGUGAGGGAUGACGGCCUUCGGGUUGUAAACCUCUUUUAGCAGGGAAGAAGCGAAAGUGACGGUACCUGCAGAAAAAGCGCCGGCUAACUACGUGCCAGCAGCCGCGGUAAUACGUAGGGCGCAAGCGUUAUCCGGAAUUAUUGGGCGUAAAGAGCUCGUAGGCGGUUUGUCGCGUCUGCUGUGAAAUCCGGAGGCUCAACCUCCGGCCUGCAGUGGGUACGGGCAGACUAGAGUGCGGUAGGGGAGAUUGGAAUUCCUGGUGUAGCGGUGGAAUGCGCAGAUAUCAGGAGGAACACCGAUGGCGAAGGCAGAUCUCUGGGCCGUAACUGACGCUGAGGAGCGAAAGGGUGGGGAGCAAACAGGCUUAGAUA